UGCUUAGCGCCUGGCUUUGGCUGAGGCUGGCUUUGAACUGGCGAUCCCCCUGCCUCAGCCUCCCAAGCCACUGGGAUGACGGGCGUGCGCCACCGUGCCCAGCUUCUGCUGCUGAUUUUAAGGUCAUCCUGCCAGGUACGGAGGGGAGCGUGGAACACGCACUUGAACAAACCAAUCUGUGAGCAGCCGUCGGUGG
rnacentral:lncRNA from 1 species